rnacentral:rRNA from 1 species
UGGCCUCUACUUGUAAGCUAUCGCUGAGGGAUGGGCCUGCGGGCCAUUAGCUUGUUGGUGAGGUAACGGCUCACCAAGGCUGUGAUGGCUAGCUGGUCUGAGAGGAUGACCAGCCACACUGGGACUGAGACACGGCCCAGACUCCUACGGGAGGCAGCAGUGGGGAAUAUUGCGCAAUGGGCGAAAGCCUGACGCAGCGACGCCGCGUGGGUGAUGAAGGCCUUCGGGUCGUAAAGCCCUGUCGCAGGGGAAGAAUAAGCAUCGGUAUAAUACGCCGGUGCCCUGACGGUACCCUGCAAGAAAGCACCGGCUAACUCCGUG